rnacentral:tRNA from 2 species
GGUGGGAUGGCAGAGCGGCCGAUUGCGGCGGUCUUGAAAACCGCUGUCGGUGAUGAACCGACCGGGGGUUCGAAUCCCUCUCCCACCG